rnacentral:rRNA from 1 species
CCUUACCUGGCCUUGACAUGUAGCGAACUUUCCAGAGAUGGAUUGGUGCUCGUAAGAGAACGCUAACACAGGUGCUGCAUGGCUGUCGUCAGCUCGUGUCGUGAGAUGUUGGGUUAAGUCCCGCAACGAGCGCAACCCUUGCCAAUAAUUGCCAUCAUUUAGUUGGGCACUUUAUUGGGACUGCCGGUGACAAACCGGAGGAAGGUGGGGAUGACGUCAAGUCCUCAUGGCCCUUAUGGCCAGGGCUUCACACGUAAUACAAUGGUCGGUACAGAGGGUUGCCAACCCGCGAGGGGGAGCCAAUCCCAGAAAGCCGAUCGUAGUCCGGAUUGUAGUCUGCAACUCGACUACAUGAAGUCGGAAUCGCUAGUAAUCGCGGAUCAGCAUGUCGCGGUGAAUACGUUCCCGGGCCUUGUACACACCGCCCGUCACACCAUGGGAGUGGGUUUUACCAGAAGUAGGUAGUCUAACCGCAAGGAGGACGCUUACCACGGUAGUACUCAUGACUGGGGUGAAGUCGUAACAAGGUAGCCGUAUCGGAAGGUGCGGCUGGAUCACC